GCCUGGGUGGCUCAGUUGGUUAAGCACUGACUUCGGCUCCGGUCACGAUCUCGCGGUUUGUGGGUUCGAGCCCCACAUCAGGCU
rnacentral:tRNA from 1 species